CUACGGGGCGCAGCAGUGGGGAAUAUUGGACAAUGGGGGCAACCCUGAUCCAGCAAUGCCGCGUGUGUGAAGAAGGCCUGCGGGUUGUAAAGCACUUUCAGUGGGGAGGAAAAGCCCAAGGUCAAUACCCUUGGGUCUUGACGUUACCCACAGAAGAAGCACCGGCUAACUCCGUGCCAGCAGCCGCGGUAAUACGGAGGGUGCAAGCGUUAAUCGGAAUUACUGGGCGUAAAGCGCGCGUAGGCGGCUGACUAAGUCGGGUGUGAAAGCCCCGGGAUCAACCUGGGAAUUGCAUUCGAUCUGGUUGGGUGGAGUCGGGUAGAGGGGUGUGGAAUUCCAGGUGUAGCGGAGAAAUGCGUAGAUAUCUGGAGGAACAUCAGUGGCGAAGGCGGCACCCUGGACCAAGACUGACGCUGAGGUGCGAAAGCGUGGGUAGCAAACAGGAUUAGAUACCCCAGUAGUC
rnacentral:rRNA from 1 species